rnacentral:rRNA from 1 species
GUAAGGAAUAUUGGUCAAUGGGCGGAAGCCUGAACCAGCCAUGCCGCGUGCAGGACGACGGCCCUACGGGUUGUAAACUGCUUUUGCCCGGGAAUAACCCCCCGCUCUUGAGCGGGGCUGAACGUACCGGGAGAAUAAGGAUCGGCUAACUCCGUGCCAGCAGCCGCGGUAAUACGGAGGAUCCGAGCGUUAUCCGGAUUUAUUGGGUUUAAAGGGUGCGUAGGAGGCCGGUUAAGUCAGGGGUGAAAUACGGCAGCUCAACUGUCGCAGUGCCAUUGAUACUGACGGGCUUGAAUACCGGUGAAGGCGGCGGAAUGAGACAAGUAGCGGUGAAAUGCAUAGAUAUGUCUCAGAACCCCGAUUGCGAAGGCAGCUGCCUAACCGGCGAUUGACGCUGAUGCACGAAAGCGUGGGGAUCGAACAGGAUUAGAAACCCUUGUAGUCC